ACUUAUCUACCUCUCCUACCUUCCAACCAACCUGGCGGCUCAAUAUCCAAUCCAUUAUUCUCUGAACACAAUAUUUAAAUAAAUAAUUAUAUAGUCAGUUUUUUUUAAAAAUAGGAUACUCACUAAUAAUAAUAAUUUGUAUAGAGUGUUUUAUGAGGUUUUGAAUGUACUCUAUGUGCUCUAUGAGUACUAGGGGCAGCCUGCCCCCCUUCUGGGGGUGGGAAAAUGAACCUCUAAAUCCCAGGGAUGAAGACAUCUUUAAUUCCUUCAAAUAGUUGGAAAGCUCAGGCACAACACUCUAUAGCAGGAGUUUCAUGGAACAUGCAGCCGGAGCAGGACGGAGCAAUACGCCC
rnacentral:sRNA from 1 species